rnacentral:rRNA from 1 species
UAAUGGGUCAGCGACUUAUAUUCUGUAGCAAGGUUAACCGUAUAGGGGAGCCGCAGGGAAACCGAGUCUUAACUGGGCGUUAAGUUGCAGGGUAUAGACCCGAAACCCGGUGAUCUAGCCAUGGGCAGGUUGAAGGUUGGGUAACACUAACUGGAGGACCGAACCGACUAAUGUUGAAAAAUUAGCGGAUGACUUGUGGCUGGGGGUGAAAGGCCAAUCAAACCGGGAGAUAGCUGGUUCUCCCCGAAAGCU